CUAUACAUGACUCUGAGCAUAUCAAUAAGCGGAGGAAAAGAAACUAACUAGGAUUCCCUUAGUAACGGCGAGUGAAGCGGGAAGAGCUCAAAUUUGAAAUCUUCAAGGGUUCUACCUUUACGAAUUGUAGUUUAUAGAAGUGUUUUCUGUUAGUGGAGUGGCAAAAGUUCUUUGGAAUAGGACAUCAUAGAGGGUGAGAAUCCCGUAUUUGGUCAUUCCUCCUAGCGUUGUGAUACACUUUCAACGAGUCGGAUUGUUUGGGAAUGCAGUCCAAAAUGGGUGGUAAAUUUCAUCUAAAGCCUAAAUAUUGGCGAGAGACCGAUAGCGAACAAGUACCGUGAGGGAAAGAUGAAAAGAACUUUGAAAAGAGAGUUAAACAGUACAUGAAAUUGUCAAAAGGGAAGCGUUUGACACCAGUGUUGUUUUUCCGAAAAUCAAUUACGAAUGGUUUGAUUUUUGAGGAGUUAUGACUUCAUCGGCUUGCUCCUUUCUUUAUGAAACUUUCUUAAUGCACUUUUCGGUUAACAAGUCAACAUCAAUUUCUUUUGUUGUAAAAGAGUAUGAGGAAGGUGGCUUUCUUUUCGGAGAAAGUGUUUAUAGCCUUGUACUUCUGCAAUCGGAGAGAUUGAGGUCUGCAGCGUAGAUCCUUCGGGGUUAGAUACAUUUGUGCUAAGUUAUAGCUUUUCAUAGACAACUUGUUGAUUAUGUUAAGUCUUGUAGCUUACUCGCUUAUGCUAUUUUACCUACGCUUAGGAUGUUGAUAUGCAUGACUGAUAU
rnacentral:rRNA from 1 species